AUUCAGUGAUCUUUGUGCACUGCCACUUCCGGUGGAUCACUCAUCACUCUGGCGAACCUAUGAUGGACGAUUAUAAGUUAACUUAUACUGCAUCCCUGGUAAAUUUACCCAAAAUAACUUUUUCUGACGUACAUCGACUAACUGAACAACACUCCAUCACAGCCCGCUCCAAAGUGGACAAGGGAUACAGUUUCUUUUUCGAGAACUUCAUCUACGACUACGAAGAUUGUUUUCCAAGCUGAUGCAGCCGAACUUCAAGAAACCUUAUGCAGCUGUACAGCAGGCAAGGUUCUGUGCAACCAUCUAGUGGCCUUGUUGUUCCAGAGUGCCCAUUACAGCAUGUUGCAGGUGAGAGCUGUACCACCACCUGUGGCCUGCACAAGCUCUCUGCAAACAUGGCAUCGACCAAGGG